rnacentral:rRNA from 1 species
UUCCAGACUCCUACGGGAGGCAGCAGUGGGGGAUAUUGCACAAUGGGGGAACCCUGAUGCAGCGGCGCCGCGUGGGUGAAGGAGCGUUUCGGCGCGUAAAGCCCUAUCGGCAGGGAAGAAGGAGGACGGUACCUGACUAAGAAGCCCCGGAUAACUACGUGCCAGCAGCCGCGGUAAUACGUAGGGGGCAAGCGUUAUCCGGAUUUACUGGGUGUAAAGGGGGCGCAGACGGCGAUGCAAGCCAGGAGUGAAAGCCCGGGGCCCAACCCCGGGACUGCUCUUGGAACUGCGCGGCUGGAGUGCAGGAGGGGCAGGCGGAAUUCCUGGUGUAGCGGUGAAAUGCGUAGAUAUCAGGAGGAACACCGGUGGCGAAGGCGGCCUGCUGGACUGCAACUGACGUUGAGGCCCGAAAGCGUGGGGAGCAAACAGGAUUAGAUACCCCAGUA